CCUACGGGGUGCAGCAGUGAGGAAUAUUGGUCAAUGGGCGCUAGCCUGAACCAGCCAAGUAGCGUGAGGGAUGACUGCCCUAUGGGUUGUAAACUUCUUUUAUGUGGGGAUAAAGUUCAGUAUGUAUACUUCUUUGCAUGUACCUUAUGAAUAAGGAUCGGCUAACUCCGUGCCAGCAGCCGCGGUAAUACGGAGGAUCCGGGCGUUAUCCGGAUUUAUUGGGUUUAAAGGGAGCGUAGGCGGGUCGUUAAGUCAGUUGUGAAAGUUUGCGGCUCAACCGUAAAAUUGCAGUUGGUACUGGCAUCCUUGAGUACAGGAGAGGUAGGCGGAAUUCGUGGUGUAGCGGUGAAAUGCUUAGAUAUCACGAAGAACCCCGAUUGCGAAGGCAGCCUGCUGGACUGUAACUGACGCUGAUGCUCGAAAGUGUGGGUAUCAAACAGGAUUAGAUACCCGGGUAGUC
rnacentral:rRNA from 1 species